GCAAGUCGAACGGAAACGAUACUAGCUUGCUAGUAGGCGUCGAGUGGCGGACGGGUGAGUAACGCGUAGGAAUCUACCCAUUUGUGGGGGAUACCAGUUGGAAACGACUGUUAAUACCGCAUAAUAUCUGCGGAUUAAAGGUGGCCUUUGAGCUGCCGCAGAUGGAUGAGCCUGCGUUAGAUUAGCUUGUUGGUGGGGUAAAGGCUUACCAAGGCUACGAUCUAUAGCUGAUUUGAGAGGAUGAUC
rnacentral:rRNA from 1 species